CGUAAUGGAACCCAGCAAAACUUGCGUGACCGAAACUCCAAUACAUUUACACAAUUUUUACUUGUCACUAACACUCCCUCACAAAUCUUUGAAAUGAGUAAGAAGUCAAUCUAUUGUGUCUUUUGAUUGUUUUAUAUUAUAAGCUCUUCACUCAACAGAUGUUAAGCAAAAAUAAAACAAAAGAAGACAAACAAUUUUUUUAGCUGGCACCGCGUAUUGAAAACGAUGGAUGUGAAAGCGUACAGCAUGAUACCGUGAAUUUGACAUUUGCUUGUUCGUUGUGACAAAUUGAAUUCGAAGAAAAAAAAUUUCGGUUACAAACGCGUCGAUAAAGAAUUGUGCAGAUUUGUGCUUGUGCAUAUUUAUGCAAAAUUAUUGAAAAUAAAUAUUGAAAUCUUUUAGAAUUGUGUUUCGAUAAUAUUUGUGAACAUCUUGUGUCUAUUAUUGUACUUAUAUUUGGAAAAAGGAUGGAUUCACCAGUGCUUUUUGAUGACACCUAUUUGGAGGAAUGCCCAACAACGUCUUCGACACCCGUAAAAGAACAAUUGACAUUUAAACGGAAGAAGUUCAACGUUUCUGGUUGCUACAACACAGAGGCAAGCUUCUCAAAGCAACAAGUAAACAAUUUGCCUGUGGAUGGAAAUGGUAAUCCAAUAUAUUGUUUCUUAAAUAUUUUUACUUUAUUACGUUUACACCUUUUUCAGAUGUUUUUAACAUGUUCUUCAAAUUACAGACACAGUGUGUUUUAAGGAUGAAAGACAGUGUAUGUGAUGUGUUGCGGCAUCUGUACACUGACGAAUUCCUGGCUUUGUGUAACUGGGACGGUAGGGGAGACAAGCAACCGCUAUCAAAGUUUCUGGUGUCCAACAUAUUAUAUGCUAAAUUUUUUACAUACGUACAUAUUAACCUAAAAAGAUGUAUUUUAAAUUGAUUUUUCAUUACAUUUUUUAUAGAUUCUUUCAUCACUUGUGGAAUUCUUACUCAUUUCAAAGA